rnacentral:misc_RNA from 1 species
AUAAACUGUUUAAGACGCACGCACGUGUUUACUUCUAGCAUUAUUUUGUAUUUCGAAGCAGAAUUUAACGUGAAACAUAAGUAAGAAAGAUGGUGAAGUUGCAAAAAUCUUUAACAAAACCUUUAGAUAUAAUCGAGAAAAGGAAAACAAAGUUACCGGCACCACCACUUGCAGGCAUCUCAAAGUCAAACAAAAAAGAAAAAGCAGUUACUGUACUGGAAAAGUCAGUGAANUCCAAAAAAGAAAAGUUAGCAAAAGCAAUUAUUAAAGAUAUCGAAGUUGUGGCGCCUUUGAAAAAAGAAAAGAAAGACAAAUUAAAUAAAGUUGAAAAGAAGAUUCCGAGCGAACCAAACAAGAAAAAAUCCAAGACGUCUGGAAAGAAGGUGGAGCAGACUCCGAAACGUCCUUUGGUACUAGCACCGGCAGAAUCACCUCAAGUUCCAAAAUUAGUUGCGGCCAAGUUGGAAAAGAAGUCGAAGGAUAAAAAGCCCAAAGUUCAUAAGAAAAAGAACAAAAAAGUUAACCCAACUAACGUUGANCCAGCAACCCCUUUAACAAAUUUGCAAAAGAAAAAAGCUGCCAAACGAGCCUACAAAAAAGAACAAAUUAAGAAGAGGCGCGAAAAUAAAUCGGCAAAAACCAAAAAAGCUCCAACAAAACGUCUAUUUAAGGCACCACCAUUUGAUGAGGAAAAAUUCAAUGCAAUUGUAUGUGCAGAUAAUGUGAAGAAAAUAGCAAAGGGCCUGAAAAAGCAGGUAGAAAAGGAAGUCUCUGAAAAGAAAACCGCCAUUUUUAGUGAUUUUCAAUACUUCCUAAAUGUCUCCUGCUUUAAAAUACCUAAUGUUCCAAAACGUAUUGUAAAGCUCAAUUUAAAACAUUCGUUGGUUGAUAAAGAUGAUGAUGUUGCUAUCAUUGUGUCUGAUUUACAACGUGGAUCUAAAGUUGAUUAUGAACCAACAAUUCAACAUUAUGAAGAUAUCUUCCGCGAAGCCGGUAUUGAAGGACUGACAAUCAUACCAUUUAAUAAACUUAGGAAUGAAUGCAAUACUUUUGAAACUGUGCGCAAAUUUGGAAAUACCUAUGAUUAUUUUCUAUGCGAUGGGCGUUUAGUAGGACACGCAUCUGGUUUUUGCGGAAAGGUCUUCCAAAAACCGCGUACAACAUUCCAUUCAGUACGUAUGGAUAAUCAAAAGAAUUUAAAACGAGAAAUUGAGAAAUCGUUAUGUCGUACUGCUUACAAACAACUGGACAAGGGUGAUCUCAUAUCAAUACCAAUCGGUACUCACAAGUUCACAGAAGAUCAGUUGGUUGAGAAUAUUAUGCAUGUAANGGAGCAGUUGAAGAAUACUUACCCCGGUGGCUUGGCCAAUAUCCGUGGCAUAUAUCUUAAAAUAAGUAUCGCUGGUACGUCAUCAUUGCCACUAUUCCUCAGUGUUGCAGAGCCACCUGCGGAGAUNCCUUAUGUUGUCGGACCACGUGAGCAGCGUAUGCUGAAAUUGAAACGUGAAGCUAACGAGGUUUUGUCUAAAUUCAAUAUGACAAAAGAAGGAAACUUGUUGAAACUAUCAAAAACUGAUGUGGAACGCAAACGUAAAUUGAAGGAAAUGCGAGCAGUAGUAAACGCUGAAACAAAUACGACUGAAGAAAAUAAGCAUGAUAAGGCCAAUGGCAAACAAGCUGUUGUGCCAGCAAAGAAGGCUAAAACUGAGAAAAGUGUUAUAGCUUCUGAUAAAAGUGAAAAAAGUAAGUCUAAAGAUGAAGAACCUAAGGUAGAAGAGCAAGGCGACGAAGACGAGGAUGAUGGCGAAGCAGAGCAGGAAGAUGAGGAUGAGAAUGAUAGUGGUGAAGAUGAGGAUGUGGAGGAAGAUGAUAGUGGGGAAGAGGAAGAUGGCGAUGAUGAUGAUGACGACGACGAUGACGGUGAUGAUGAUGAAGAUGAUGCUGAUGAAGAUGAUGCAGAAGAUGAAGACGGCGCGGGGGAUGAUGAUAAGGAUGAGGAUGAUAGUGAAGAAGAAGAUGAUGAAUAAUUACAAUAGUAAUUUUACCAUAAGUCUGGUUUUUUUAAUUUAAAUCUUUUAUUAUAUAAAAAACACAUUGAAUGCAUUGGAUUAUAAGAAUAAAAUAUCUUGAAAUACUUGCGAUAUUUAAUCUUUAUGCAGUAGAUUUUACGACCAACUAAUUAUUAAUAUUUUUAUGCAUCUUAAAUGGGUGUUGGUUCUGAAUAACACUAGCUAUAACUUUUUUUAUUAAGUAAAUCAUUAUUUUAUAAGCUGUGUCACCCUAUUAUGAAUGUUCAGAGACAAAUGACACAUUGAGAAUUAUUGAAACGUCAAAUUGGACACACAGUACGGCAGCAUGAAUUUUUGUUCUGAGUGUGUUUUUCUUUUAUCCCGUCUCGUCGAUUUCAUUUUAAACAAAUACUUAAGGAAAUAAUAAAUAUUUGCAACUGAGGUAGAAAUUAUUAUCGUAACGGAUUAUAAUUGUGUCUAUAGUUCUUUCGNAAAGGCAAAAUAUGUAAAACAUCAUAAAUUAACUGUGAUUUGCAUGCAAUUUCGUUGGCGUGAAAAAAAAAAUUAACGUAACAAUAGUUCUUGCUUUGACUUCAAGGCGAUGUGUUAUUUAUUGCAUUCGUAAAGGAAUUGUACCGCGGCCAUUUGAUAGGGGCUCUAGUGAUCGCGCCGCGAUAUGUGGAUCUGUGCCCACUGUGUUUACAUAAAUCUGAUUCCAUUAAAAUUCAAUUGGUGCAAAUAGUGU